CCUUCGCCUGCUUUCUGCCCGCGAUUGACGGCGGCCAAAAACCGGCAAGGCGAGGCAACGCGAGCACAACCGCAGUUGGGGUGCUUCCUAUGGUGACCUGGGGCUUUCGCAAGGCGGUGGCGUCGCUGCAACCAUCCUGCCCCACACGGUCUGUACGCGACGGCGAGCAGUCCAGCAUAUUCUUCGUGCCCCCAACCCCCAGCGUAGAUGGCUGGGGAUUAAAGAAUUCCUAGAGUACUUCCAUGACGCUGAAUCAGUUCUAGCUCUAGGCACUCAUCCUAUAUAUUGGACCUUCAGAUACCACACCGUCUUCCUAGAUUAGUACGGAUCUGAGACGUGUGACCUGCUGAGGGAACAAGCGGGGCAACUUUGUACAAGAACUCGACCUCACAAGUCACAACCAGCCGACCACUAGAUCCUCACUACCAGCGGGCACCGACCUUCACCUCGCCAUGACGCUCGGCAACCACAGCGACCUCUUCGCCUCUGUGCAAGCUGAUCUUGGUGACUGGAAGGGAUUAUGCCUGUUCUAUUGGCAAUCUGCAAGCCCAAACAUUCCCCUUGCAUGACUGCAGGGUUGGAUGUCAUUAUAGUUUAAUUUUCAGAGGGCAACAGAAAAGAAGCAAGAGAGUUCACUGAAAGAAGCAGACAAAUUACCAAUGCCCGCACCCCGUCCUCGAGUUUCAUCUUUAUUCCGUAAGGAUGGACGGGGCAUGGCAAUGCGAGCCACGGAUAAUGGUGCUAAUUGAGCUGAAUGAGCACAUCGGCAGCGGCAGCAAGGACAUCAAUAGACUAUGUUGAGCAGCUCAAUACUAUGGCUCCUCUAUGGCUGACCUGAUCUAGGACACGUAUCUAUUUUUGAUUACGUAUUAAGUCAUUGUGGAGUAGAAUGGUCACUCUAUGCAUUCUGAUGGAGAUGAUUGUUGCUUUAUGCAAGUGAACUUGGCAGUAGCUUCAUUGUCAUGGAAAUUCAAGUUCUAUCUUGGGUAUGUCAUAUUAAACACUUAUAUUCCUCGCGUUCAA